rnacentral:ncRNA from 1 species
GUUUCGGGGCGGGGUUAGAUUCCCCACCGGCGGUGAUGGGUGCCAAGCCACGAGUCCGCGACCUGUGAAAGCAGUUGAUCCGGUGCGAUUCCGGAACCGACGGUAUAGUCCGGAUGAAAGAAA